CAGGACGAACGCUGGCGGCGUGCCUAAUACAUGCAAGUCGAACGGUCUUUCUAUGGAAGCUUGCUUCCACUGAGAAGAUAGUGGCGAACGGGUGAGUAACACGUGGGUAACCUGCCCAUAAGAGGGGGAUAACAUCCGGAAACGGGUGCUAAUACCGCAUAGUUUUCUUGAUCGCAUGAUCGGGAAAGGAAAGACGGCCUUUGUGCUGUCGCUUAUGGAUGGACCCGCGGCGUAUUAGUUAGUUGGUGAGGUAACGGCUCACCAAGACGAUGAUACGUAGCCGACCUGAGAGGGUGAUCGGCCACAUUGGGACUGAGACACGGCCCAAACUCCUACGGGAGGCAGCAGUAGGGAAUCUUCCGCAAUGGACGAAAGUCUGACGGAGCAACGCCGCGUGAGUGAAGAAAGGUUUUCGGAUCGUAAAACUCUGUUGUCAGAGAAGAACAAGUUGGAGAGUAACUGCUCCAGCCUUGACGGUAUCUGACCAGAAAGCCACGGCUAACUACGUGCCAGCCGCUGC
rnacentral:rRNA from 1 species